AUGCUACCGCUUUUGGAUGGGCCCGCGGCGCAUUAGCUAGUUGGUGGGGUAAAGGCUUACCAAGGCAAUGAUGCGUAGCCGAACUGAGAGGUUGAUCGGCCACAUUGGGACUGAGACACGGCCCAAACUCCUACGGGAGGCAGCAGUAGGGAAUCUUCCACAAUGGGCGAAAGCCUGAUGGAGCAACGCCGCGUGGGUGAAGAAGGUCUUCGGAUCGUAAAACCCUGUUGUUAGAGAAGAAAGUGCGUGAGAGUAACUGUUCACGUUUCGACGGUAUCUAACCAGAAAGCCACGGCUAACUACGUGCCAGCAGCCGCGGUAAUACGUAGGUGGCAAGCGUUAUCCGGAUUUAUUGGGCGUAAAGGGAACGCAGGCGGUCUUUUAAGUCUGAUGUGAAAGCCUUCGGCUUAACCGGAGUAGUGCAUUGGAAACUGGGAGACUUGAGUGCAGAAGAGGAGAGUGGAACUCCAUGUGUAGCGGUGAAAUGCGUAGAUAUAUGGAAGAACACCAGUGGCGAAAGCGGCUCUCUGGUCUGUAACUGACGCUGAGGUUCGAAAGCGUGGGUAGCAAACAGGAUUAGAUACCCUGGUAGUCCACGCCGUAAACGAUGAAUGCUAAGUGUUGGAGGGUUUCCGCC
rnacentral:rRNA from 1 species